ACGACCGAGCUUCGUAACAUUAGGUCACUCAUUGCAGAUCUGAAGUAUAGAAAUCAUGAAAGUCGCAGUCUUUCUCCUUUGCUUACUCCCCUUGGCUUUCUGUGCCCCAUCGGACAUUGAUAAGAGAUGGCUGAUAAACGUCCAAAAAGUGAUUGAACAGAUCAAACACCUCGUGACCCCAGACAUGGAACUUUCCGCCUGUGACACUGCCUGCAAAUCCGUCGUGGCUGGACUCGGCGCCCUUGUCUGUCCCACUGCUUGCUCCACAUUGAUCAACAGUCUUAACGGUUAAUCAAUAAAUAUAAAAAUCA